AACACGUUGAGUAACCUCGCCCUUAACUCUGGGAUAAGCCUGGGAAACUGGGUACUAAUACCGGAUAUGACUCCUCAUCGCAUGGUGGGGGGUGGAAAGCUUUUUGUGGUUUUGGAUGGACUCGCGGCCUAUCAGCUUGUUGGUGAGGUAAUGGCUCACCAAGGCGACGACGGGUAGCCGGCCUGAGAGGGUGACCGGCCACACUGGGACUGAGACACGGCCCAGACUCCUACGGGAGGCAGCAGUGGGGAAUAUUGCACAAUGGGCGCAAGCCUGAUGCAGCGACGCCGCGUGAGGGAUGACGGCCUUCGGGUUGUAAACCUCUUUCAGUAGGGAAGAAGCGAAAGUGACGGUACCUGCAGAAGAAGCGCCGGCUAACUACGUGCCAGCAGCCGCGGUAAUACGUAGGGCGCAAGCGUUAUCCGGAAUUAUUGGGCGUAAAGAGCUCGUAGGCGGUUUGUCGCGUCUGCCGUGAAAGUCCGGGGCUCAACUCCGGAUCUGCGGUGGGUACGGGCAGACUAGAGUGAUGUAGGGGAGACUGGAAUUCCUGGUGUAGCGGUGAAAUGCGCAGAUAUCAGGAGGAACACCGAUGGCGAAGGCAGGUCUCUGGGCAUUAACUGACGCUGAGGAGCGAAAGCAUGGGGAGCGAACAGG
rnacentral:rRNA from 1 species